rnacentral:rRNA from 1 species
UGGGGAAUCUUAGACAAUGGGGGAAACCCUGAUCUAGCCAUGCCGCGUGAGCGAUGAAGGCCUUAGGGUUGUAAAGCUCUUUCAGCUGGGAAGAUAAUGACGGUACCAGCAGAAGAAGCCCCGGCUAACUCCGUGCCAGCAGCCGCGGUAAUACGGAGGGGGCUAGCGUUGUUCGGAAUUACUGGGCGUAAAGCGCACGUAGGCGGAUUAGUCAGUCAGAGGUGAAAUCCCAGGGCUCAACCCUGGAACUGCCUUUGAUACUGCUAGUCUUGAGGUCGAGAGAGGUGAGUGGAAUUCCGAGUGUAGAGGUGAAAAUUCGUAGAUAUUCGGAGGAACACCAGUGGCGAAGGCGGCUCACUGGCUCGAUACUGACGCUGAGGUGCGAAAGCGUGGGGAGCAAAACAGGAUUAGAUACCCUGGUAGUCCACGCCGUAAAACGAUGAAUGCCAGUCGUCGGGUUGCAUGCAAUUCGGUGACACACCUAAACGGAUUAAAGCAUUCCGCCUGGGGAGUACGGUCGCAAGAUUAAAAACUCAAAGGAAUUGACGGGGUCAUAGCUGUUUCCUG